UACGUAGGCAGCGAGCGUUGUUCGGAAUUACUGGGCGUAAAGAGUGUGUAGGCGGUGCUCUAAGUUCGGUGUGAAAUCUCCUGGCUCAACUGGGAGGGUGCGCCGGAAACUGGAGUGCUUGAGCGUGGGAGAGGAAAGCGGAAUUCCUGGUGUAGCGGUGAAAUGACGUAGAUAUCAGGAGGAACACCUGUGGUGUAGACGGCUUUCUGGACCAUAGCUGACGCUGAGACACGAAAGCGUGGGUAGCAAACAGG
rnacentral:rRNA from 1 species